rnacentral:tRNA from 5 species
GCCGGGUUAGCUCAGUGGGAGAGCGUCUGCCUUACAAGCAGAGGGCCGGGGGUUCGAAUCCCUCACCCGGUAC